GAGCCAGUAACCUGCUAUAAGGUAACUGACAUUAUGAUUUGAAAGAGUCCACAUCAGCAGUUCCCAAUCUGUGCGCGAGGAACUAUGCCUCGUUGUAGUAGCCAACAGGUUAUAAAAGCUACCUGUGUACUGUCCAGCACAUGCACUCCAAUGCUUACACCUCGAUGAAGUCCACAGAAUCUGGAAUGUCAAAGGUUGCCUACCCCUAUACUAGACCAUUCGUUCUCGGCAGGCAGGUAUACCUCCAAGCUCUGCAAGGGCUUCUUCUGCGUUUACAACCAAUCACAGUUAUGGUAUCGUCACUGUGCCAAACUUCUGCCAAUGUGUUUUAUCUGAACUCCAGACUUUCUAACCUAAGGACGUUCUUUUAGGAGUCUGUUAAAGGACCACUAAAGUGCCAGGAAAAUAUACUCGUUUUUCCUGGCACUAUAGUGCCCUGAGGGUGCCCCCACCCUCAGGGCCCCACUCCCGCCGGGCUCUGGGGAGAGGAAAGGGGUUAAACUUACCUUUUUUCCAGCGCCGGGCAGUGAGCUCUCCUCCUCCUCUCCGCCUCCGAUCCUCCUCUUCGGCUAAAUCCGCAUGCGCGGCAGGAGCUGCGUGCGCAUUCAGCCAGUCUCAUAGGAAAGCAUUCAUA